ensembl:lncRNA
CAGCUUGUAUUAUAGAAUGCAUUCAGAAUUAAGCGUACUGUCUUACUGAAUAUCUAGAGCUGCUAUUCCAUACGCUGUUGUUGCCAAACAUGAGACGGCGAACCGCAUACGUCACGUUGCACACCUUCACCUGCCUGUCGAAAGUUGUCCGCUGCACACGACGCUCCUCCCCGCAGGUUUUUUUUAGCCUCCAAUAAAACCGAACUCUAGCUAUCCACUUAAGAGGAACUCUACUCGUCCUGUGGCUACAAACAUUGGAGAAAUGUUGAUGGUCCAAACAACCACAGGCGACAUGACGGCGGUGGCCGGGCCCUGGGAGGAGUUGAUGGAGGGGGAAGACGACAGCUACCUGUCCGGCUCCACCAUGACCCUUGACCUCCUGGACGAUGAACCCCCUGCCUUACGUCACCUCGAGCCACGCCACCUGACCCACUCCCAGCCAAUCACCAUCAGCCCUGCCAGGGUCAAAGCUGAUGAGGGCCGGUGGUCCUCCUCCUUGCCCACCAUACCCAAUCCCUUCCCAGAGCUGUGUUGCCCCCCCCAAUCCUCUGUGGUGAUUGGCUCAGUCCCACCAUCGGCAAGCGACAAACAUUGCCUUUGGGAAGAACAGCAAUACAAAAUGCCAAACAAGGGAAACUCCAUGACAAGAAUGGGUUUAAAAUAAUAGAAUUACCUCAAUGUGAUUAUUAUUGAGGUAAAUGUCAGUGCUAUUGUAAUUAAUAUCAGUACUAUUGUAAUAUAUCCUUUUUUUAAUUUGUUAACAGUUUUUAUCUUAUAUUUUUACAAUUUAUAUUGAUAUCAGGAUUAAGUAUCAGUAUUUAUAAUAGUAAAUGUAUAAUUAUAUUGAUAUCUAUAUUUGUAUCAAUCACCAUAUAAUUAUGAAUAACCACAUUGAUGUAAUUAUGAGUAACCGUAUUAAUAGCAUUAUUAAUAUAAUAUUAUUGCGUACUUGACUCGACUGCAGUAGCGCGACAUGUUGAGGUUUGAUUGACAUAAACAUGUGCGUACAUGUGUAUGUCAAUCAAACCUCAACAUGUACGCACACACACGUACGCUGUCUUCAUUUUGGCUCACAACACGAGACUGGUAUUGAUUCAAUCUGCAGCCCGAAGCACACAGUUUAUUAAACUCGACCACAAAUACACUGAGAUGAACUCUUCAGUCUGAUGCCUGAAGCACACAGUUGAUUAAAAUCUCAUACAAAUGAAGCGAGUCCAUUUAAGUCUUGUUAUCCGGCACUGUGCCAGCUAAAUAUGGGACAUGUGGUGAGGCGAUACGGCUUGAUAAAGAAGGCAUGUAUGAAGCCAUCUGUGUGUUGCAGGUAUUAUCAUAGAAUGGCUUUUGUUGGAUUUCUCCGUCACAGUAGAAGGUCUACAGAAGCUGUCCAGCCUGAUUAUGAAGAGCAGAAUGCUGUAUUUACUUCUAGCAUCUGUUCUCUCUCAGCUUGUGUAUGGCUGUGGCUCCCACCAAAGGAGGAGUUUCCCCUCCUGAUUGACACUUUCAACACCCCCUCUGUAGCUACAACAUUGGUUUCUUUCUCCAGUGUGCCGGUUUCAGGUCAGGUCAGUCUCUUUCCCUGAGUGGUGAUUGGCUGCCAUCAGUUCUGAUGUCAUACACCGUGUCUGACACCUGGCCCACCUCAGGGCAUUGUGUUUGUGUCUUCAAGUGUACAAAAGGCUGCUGUUGACAGACUGACUCGGUAGCUUCUGAUUCACAUCUAGAACCAGUUAGGUUGGAAAAUCCCUCCCAGUGUCUACCUGUUGUGUCUGGUUGCUGGUUGAGAGGAUUCUCGCCACAUCACUACG